CACACCAAAAGUUUUGUUCCAUUCUCUAGUCUUCAGAGUUCUGCGUCUUCAAGCAAAGAGGAGGAGAAGAAGAAGCCGUGAGCAAGACCUAGCUGUCAUCAUCCACCCUUGUCUGUAGCAUUGAAGCAUUACUUUCAAGAUUCAAGUGUUCAAUGUCACAAGCUCUUCAUCAUUCAUCCCUUUCACAGUGUGUACCCUCAAUCCCCGGCUUGAACGAUCCCUACUUGUUCUAUAUUGACAACUACAUUUUACAGGGUUAAAUUGUUUGCUACUUUUAGCAUGUCAAUAAUUAUGAGUAUGAGAGUGAUUCUAGCAUUGAAAAGUUAUUGUUUUUGAUUGUUGGUCCCCCUUAGUAACUGUUUGAAGAAA